rnacentral:rRNA from 1 species
CCCUUCUAAGCGGUGGAUCACUUGGCUCGCAGGUCGAUGAAGAACGCAGCUAGCUGCGUGAAGUAAUGUGAAUUGCAGACACAUUGAACAUCGACAUUUCGAACGCACAUUGCGGAAUCGGGUUCCUCCCGGUUCCAGGUUCUCUUGACGGCGUCAUU